GACAGAGGGUGCAAACGUUGUUCGGAAUUACUGGGCGUAAAGCGCGUGUAGGCGGCUAUGUAAGUCGGGCGUGAAAUCCCACGGCUCAACCGUGGAAGUGCACCCGAAACUGCGUAGCUAGAGUCCUGGAGAGGAAGGUGGAAUGCUUGGUGUAGAGGUGAAAUUCGUAGAUAUCAAGCGGAACACCGGUGGCGAAGGCGGCUCGCUGGACCUUUUCUGACGCUGAGGCGCGAAAGCUAGGGGAGCAAACGGG
rnacentral:rRNA from 1 species